UGGCCUGCUGUCAGGCAGAGGAAAUGAAAGAGGGAUGAGACAGACAACUGGAAUUGCAGGUGAUUCUACUGGCUUUGUGAUGAAACUUUGAUUCCUUGAAGGGGAGCAAGUGGUACAGCAAACUCUUCCUUCAUUUCAGUGUAUGAGAAGGAGUUUGCAACAUACCUGAAUGUGCCCAUUUGCACCAUGUUCUAAAGAAGAAGGAAAUUUCUUGCAUCACAGUCCUCACCAGGUUAAUUUCCCUUCCAAAGAAAGAUGUGUGGGUUCCAGGCUCUGCUUCAUCAGCACACUCAGAAGAUACCAGUGAUUACAGUGUGCUCUACAGGCUGGCAGAGGAAUGAAAAUACAGGAGGGGAAAGCAAGUAAAGGAGGAUUUCUUGAAAGACAAGGCAGCAGCAAAGUCU